rnacentral:sRNA from 1 species
UGCUCCUGCACCGGUCUGCAUCUCCCAGCAGAAGGCGCAGCCAUGAAUCCGUUAUUCGGCCCCAACCUCUUCCUCCUGCAGCAGGAGCAGCAGGGCCUGGCCGGGCCACUGGGGGACUCACUGGGAGGCGACCACUUCGCCGGGGGAGGAGACUUGCCCCCGGCGCCUCUCUCGCCGGCCGGCCCUGCUGCCUACUCGCCGCCCGGGCCGGGCCCGGCCCCGCCUGCCGCCAUGGCCCUCCGCAAUGACCUGGGCUCCAACAUCAACGUGCUCAAGACCCUGAACCUCCGGUUCCGCUGCUUCCUGGCCAAGGUGCAUGAGCUGGAGCGCCGGAACCGGCUGUUGGAGAAGCAACUGCAGCAAGCGCUGGAGGAGGGUAAGCAGGGCCGGCGGGGCCUGGGUCGUCGCGACCAGGCAGUGCAGACCGGCUUCGUCAGCCCCAUCCGGCCCCUGGGGCUGCAGCUGGGCGCCCGGCCGGCCGCUGUCUGCAGCCCUUCGGCGCGCGUGCUGGGCUCGCCCGCGCGCUCCCCGGCCGGCCCCCUCGCGCCCUCCGCGGCCAGCCUCUCGUCGUCCUCCACCUCCACCUCCACCACCUAUUCCUCGUCGGCCCGCUUCAUGCCCGGCACCAUCUGGUCGUUCUCGCACGCCCGCCGGCUCGGGCCGGGACUGGAGCCCACUCUGGUGCAAGGGCCUGGCUUGUCGUGGGUGCACCCGGAUGGGGUGGGCGUCCAGAUCGACACCAUCACGCCCGAGAUCCGCGCUCUCUACAACGUGCUGGCCAAAGUGAAGCGGGAGCGGGACGAGUACAAGCGGAGAUGCUUUUACAGGGUUAAAUGAUACCACAAGAGGCAGGGCAGCGGGCUCGACGAGCUCUGUUCUGGUGCGGGCAGGAGGCGGGAGCCCGGAUCUGUGCGACUGAAGGUGGGAAGAGGAGUACACGGUGCGGAUCCAGCUGCAAGACCGUGUAAAUGAGCUCCAGGAGGAAGCCCAGGAGGCUGAUGCCUGCCAGGAGGAGCUGGCACUGAAGGUGGAACAGUUGAAGGCUGAGCUGGUGGUCUUCAAGGGGCUCAUGAGUAACAACCUGUCGGAGCUGGACACCAAGAUCCAGGAGAAAGCCAUGAAGGUGGAUAUGGACAUCUGCCGCCGCAUCGACAUCACCGCCAAGCUCUGCGAUGUGGCUCAGCAGCGCAACUGCGAGGACAUGAUCCAGAUGUUCCAGGUCCCAUCCAUGGGGGGGCGGAAGCGGGAGCGCAAGGCUGCCGUCGAGGAGGACACCUCCCUGUCGGAGAGUGAGGGGCCCCGCCAGCCCGAUGGGGAUGAGGAGGAGAGCACAGCCCUCAGCAUCAACGAGGAGAUGCAGCGCAUGCUCAACCAGCUGAGGGAGUAUGAUUUUGAGGACGACUGUGACAGCCUGACUUGGGAGGAGACUGAGGAGACCCUGCUGCUUUGGGAGGAUUUCUCAGGCUAUGCCAUGGCAGCUGCAGAGGCCCAGGGAGAGGUAACCUCUGCUCCCGGCCUCAGGGCCCUCUGGCUCUGCCUCUCCAGCCUGACGCCCACUCCCCCGCUCCUCUCCUUGCUCUGUCCCCCCAUGUGGCUGUCAUCCUCUACCUGCGUCUCCCCUCUUCCUUUAUCCUUUUGCUUUUCUUUCUCCAGUUUCUUUAACCAGACUUCCUCUCUCUCUCUCUCCCUGACUUGGCCCUUUGGAAUGCGUCCCAUCCCAUCCCUCCUUGGCUGGCCUCCCCCGCUUCCCUUUCUACUCCAGCAGCAGGAAGAUAGCCUGGAGAAGGUGAUUAAAGAUACGGAGUCCCUGUUCAAAACCCGGGAGAAGGAGUAUCAGGAGACCAUUGACCAGAUAGAGCUGGAGUUGGCCACGGCCAAGAACGACAUGAACCGGCACCUGCACGAGUACAUGGAGAUGUGCAGCAUGAAGCGCGGCCUGGACGUGCAGAUGGAGACCUGCCGCCGGCUCAUCACCCAGUCUGGAGACCGAAAGUCUCCUGCUUUCGCUGCGGUCCCGCUUAGCGACCCGCCGCCGCCGCCGCCAAGCGAGGCUGAGGACUCCGAUCGCGAUGUCUCAUCUGACAGCUCCAUGAGAUAGAGACCUGCCUCCCCCUUGCACCCGAGGCCCUCGCAGCGGGGACCUCAGCGAGGCAGAGGGUGGGGCUGCACAGAGGGGAACAUCAGCUGCAGCUCUGCACCAGGCCGGCCCCUGGGGACUGGGGCGCUCCUCCCUCAGGCUUUCUCCCUCGGUCUUGGCUUCUCCAGGGCUCUGGGGUGUCUGGAGCUAGGCUUGGCCCUACCAUUCUGGGGCCAUUUCCACCACAGUUGGGGCUCUCCUGCCUUCACGCGUGGGUGUCUGCUACUUCCCCAUCUUUAAAAUGCUGCCAGAGCGAUUGCGGCCCCUCACCUUGUCCACGUAUCAGGAAUGUGAAUGUGGGACCUUUCCUCCAUCCCUGUUGUCCGGAGCCAGCUCACUGUCUUCCACACUGGUGCUAACUGGCCCAGGCACUGGAGUGGAAUAGAAUGCAGCUGGAGGCUACGCAUGGCCUCUGCAGCACACGCAGCUGGAGAGGGCUUCUGUCCCUGUCAGCGGCAGAGGGCGUUGGGGCUGGCCGGGGCACCUUGUCCCUGCUAUGGUCCACAUGCUCACGCUGUCCACCUGCCAGGUGGAGUGUAUGUGGCUGUGGCCCUCCCUCGUGGAGGUGCCGUGCUUUAAAGAGGCCUUAGUGCCCGGGAUGGGCACAGUGUUUUGAAGGGAGGUGGGAGCUCUUGCUCUCCUGGUCACUGCAGAAUGACAGAGAAGGUGAAGCUCCGUGCAUGUGUGCGCGGGUGUAUGUGCGCUCAGGGUCUCUGUUUAAGUAUCAGCUAAAGAUGUGCCCCCUCCAUGUCUGUCAUACACUGAGACCAACAGGCUACAGUGUCCCUGAUUCUUGGAAAAGCCUGGAGAAGCUGGGGAGAUGCGGUUCACAAUGCCUCGGUAUAGGAGGCUGUGUUGAGCUGACAU